CCCGCCCCGCCCGCCCCGCUCGGCGCCCGCGCCCGCGCCCGGCCCGGCUGAGUGCGCGCGCCCGCGGCGCCGGAGAGCGGGGCGGGAGUUCGGGGUAGUCCCACAGGGCCCCUGCGCUUCCUCAAACCCAAGCAGUGCCCCCUGAGCUCAGAGCAAGGAUGAGUGUUGGAGGGGCGGAGACCAGGCAGGAAUGCCACAAAGGGAAUGCCAGCUUCGGGUGAUCUUGGCAUACAGAGACCCGGCCUUUGGGGCAAAGGGAAGAAAAGAGAUGGCUGUCAGCAGAAUGUAGGAAAUUGAGCAAAAGUGGGUGGGUGUGCACCUGGAUGAGUCAAAUUCUUGGCGAGACAUCAACUGUGAUUCUGAGUCUGAGCUCAAAGGUGUGAUGGAACCCUUGCCUGUUAUCCCUGCCCUGCCUUAACUUGGGGGAGAAUAAGGAAAGAAACUCAGAGAAGCCUCUUGUAGACAAGUCCUGCAGGCCUCCUCCUUACAAGACUAGCUGGUGUGUCUGACUGUGCCCUAAGACAUGGUGCAUGAGAGUUAGAAAGAUGAAUGACAACAUCCCUUCUCCCGCUGAACCUGUCCCUGUGGAUGGCUGAAAGGUAUCCCCUGGUCUUGGGCACCUCACAAUUCACACUGCACACAGCCCUAUUGCUUAUGGCAAUGGAAGCUUCAGAUCGUGCCUGGGGAUCCGAAACUAAAUGAGGGAUCAUCCAUGGUUAGCUUCCCGGGUCCUGCUUGGUCCUUGAUUAUCCUCAUUCUGGGAAACUGAAGGCCGGGACUCCAGGCCUGACAUCAGGGGAACAGCCCACUGAUUCACCUGUCAUGACAAGGCUCCAGCAGUGGCUGAACCUUUAGCCAGGAUUUACCGAAUACCAAAACCAUUAAUUUACAUUCAAAACCUAUUCUCCCCACUGAAGCUGAAACAUGAGAACCAUUCCCCACUCGAUCUCUCAUUUCCCUUUGCUCUAAUUGAAACCAAGCACAUUUCUUAGAGCUAUUAUUUCUUCCACUAUUCUCAGAAUUUAUACCCUGAACCCUUAAUACUGGCCUGUUGUAAUAGCUUUCUAAGGAAGGACCUCUUUUCUUCAGGAUUGAUUUUCCUAAAGCCUGCCUUUGACCAUGAUAGUUUGCUGCUCAACACCCCAGCCUCAAGGUCACUCCCCAUACCAGCACCCCAUUCACCCCAUUCACUGAAGACUUUGCUUCCAGGCCACCCCUUUCCUGCCUGCAUUCCUGGUAUCUUCAACCUCUAGGUGGAUGGUCAUCUGUUUGUCCUUCAGGGACUUCCUCCAAAAACGGAAACCCUACAACUUGGCAUCACCAGAAACUGCACUGUCUCCAAAAUCCAAAGGCAUCCAACUCUACCCAACACCUCUUGCACUUACAGUUCACUUUGCUCACAAUCCCCUCAUCGUGACCUGUGAGCUCCCAAUCCCACCAUCUCACUGUCUCCUCACCAUCCCUUGCCUCCUGAUCAAAUUAUAUCCCAUCCUUAUACUGACUACCUUGCCACCCUCUCCUGCAGUGAUGCUGAAAAGCCUAAAAGUUAGUUUUUCCACUGUAUGCAAUCCCCUCUCCACCCUCCUUCAGUCAUCAUCCCUCUCAGCUGUCAACAUGACCUCAUAAUUCUCUAAGAAAUUGAAGCCUAAAAGCAUGCCCUCCCUCAUCCUUUCACCACCAAAUCUGCACAGCCCUGAAGGAGCCUCUUCCCCCUCUUCCUCUGGUUACACAGAUAGAAAUUAUCCUCCUCCUCGCGAGGCCAGUCCUCCAGAGGUGUUUUAGAGCCAUUCCAGGUCCUAGUCCCUGGAACCUCUGUGUGUGACCUUACAAGACAAAGGAGACUUUGAGGGUCAUUAAAGAGGAACGAUCUUGAGGUGGGGAGAUUAUCCUGGGUAUCUGGAUAGGCCCUAAGUGUAAUCUCGAGCGUCCU